UCGCCUGAAAUUACAAAUUGCAUCGAAUGCAAUUGAUCCGAUCGAAUUGGAUCAUACGAUUGGUAACAUUCAAUUUCACGGAUAUAAAGUCGUGAAUCUAGGAAAAUACCUGUGGUAUCAGGGUCAGACCUACUGUCAAUCCCGCAACCAGGUCACCCAAUGCGUCCUUCGUUUUGUACAGCGUUUCAGCACAUCGUGUCAACUUGAAAUUCUGAAAAUAUAACACGAUCCAAUGAUCUGAACGAAGGAAGAACUUCGAUUUCAAGUUUCAAUCGACAGAUCGUCAUAAUUCAUCGGCCUGUCCUCUUAAUAUGCGAGCUGCAUCGCCUCAUUAACUGGCAUCGCAAUCGUCGUCUUCAAUGUCUCGCCGAUGAAA